UGUUAAAAAAAUCAUCCUUUUGUACUAUUAAAGUUAGCAUGGCUGACAAAGUAACCUAAUAAUAAUACAUAGCGUGUCAUGUGUACCUUAUACUAAUAUAUAUGGACUAGUUUUUAAUAAUAAAAAUUGAUUAAAUUUUUAACA
rfam:Gossypium hirsutum cultivar TM-1 chromosome 19, whole genome shotgun sequence